rnacentral:misc_RNA from 1 species
GGGAGGGGGAGAUUGAAAGGGAUUUGUGGUCUCUUUUCUCUCCCUCUUGCGCACCAAAUUCAGCCAUCAGUAUCUCUCCAAGGUUUUGGUAUCGUGGUGUGUCCAGUUCAAUGGGCGCCGGCGGGAGGAUGACGGCGAAGGAGCAAGCUGCGCAUGAGGCUGCAGCGGCGGCCGGAGGCCGAGUCGAUCCCCUGCAGCGCGUCCCCGCCGAUAAGCCGCCGUUCACGCUGAGCCAGCUCAAGAAAGCCAUCCCUCCCCAUUGCUUCCAGCGCUCGGCACUCAAGUCGUUCUCUUAUGUCGUGCAUGACCUCGCCAUCGCUUCCCUCUUCUUCUACCUCGCCAUCGUCUACCUCCCCUCCUUCCCGGCUACCCUCCGGCUCGCCGCCUGGCCGCUCUACUGGGUGGCACAAGGAUGUGUUCUCACUGGUGUGUGGGUCAUCGCUCAUGAGUGCGGCCACCAUGCCUUUUCCGACUGGUCACUACUUGACGAUGCCGUCGGACUUGUCCUCCACUCGUUCCUCCUUGUUCCAUACUUCUCAUGGAAGUACAGCCACCGCCGCCACCACUCGAACACCGGAUCACUUGAUCGCGACGAGGUCUUCGUCCCCAAACCUCGUGCUGCCCUUCCAUGGUUCUCCACCUACCUAAACAAUCCGGUCGGUCGUGUCAUUAGUCUCACCGUCACCCUCACCCUCGGCUGGCCUCUGUAUCUUGCAUUCAACGUAUCCGGCCGCCCAUACCCCCGCUUCGCCUGCCACUACGACCCAUACGGCCCGAUCUACUCUGAGCGCGAGCGUGCACAGAUCUUUAUUUCCGACGCCGGUGUCAUUUCAAUGUGCUUCCUUCUCUACAAGGCGGCUGUGUUGCAUGGUUUCCAAUGGGUGGCAUGUGUGUAUGGAGUCCCUCUAUUGAUUGUCAAUGGCUUUUUGGUGCUGAUCACUUUUCUGCAACACACUCAUCCAUCUCUGCCGCAUUAUGACUCCAACGAGUGGGACUGGCUCCGAGGGGCACUUGCGACGGUGGACCGUGACUAUGGUUUUCUCAACAAGGUGUUCCAUCAUAUUACCGACACCCAUGUCGCGCACCACCUCUUCUCAACGAUGCCGCAUUACAAUGCAGAGGAGGCGACACGGGCUAUUCGGCCGUUGCUUGGGAAGUACUACCAGUUCGACAGCACGCCGGUGGUGAAGUCGAUGUGGAGGGAGGCGAGGGAGUGUGUCUUCGUCGAGCCUGAUGUUGGUGACGGCAAGCCGAAGGGCGUGUUCUGGUAUAGCAAUAAAAUCUGAAAGUGAGGGACCGGUCGAAUGCAAGUAUCGUGGUAUGGUCCCUAGUAGUACUGCUUUUUCGUGUUAGUGCUCGCCUUCAUUUUCAGUCUCUUUGGAGCUUUCUCUCUGUCUCUUCUCCUCGUCAGUUUGCUCUAGUUCUGUUAUGUUCGUCUAAGUAAUAACAGAUAAUUAAAGGAUGUUGGAGUUUAAUGUUACUUAUUUAGUGCCAACAAAGUUAUGUGUUUUAUUUUACUUGUUUCUAUUACAGUGAGC